rnacentral:lncRNA from 1 species
UUGGAUGUGUGGUCUCAAAUAUAUGCCCUUUUAGGUUCCAUGCUUAAACUUAUUUCUGGGGUUCUGUAUUUGUUUCUGGUUGUAGAUAACACAAAGAGGCAGAUGAAGAUUCAUAUUAAUAUAAAAAAGGAAAUGUCGACCUCAGAGAGAAAACAGAGCAGAAACUACGGCAAACGAAGAAACAGUGAAAUGGUGUUUCCGCUGGCCGUACCUCAGGGGAGGAAGCGCUUUCAUUUAUCCUUGUGACCCUGGAUCAUAACAUGUCCCCACAGCCCGGUGCAAUUACAGCACCAGCAGCAGGUCCGGACAAAGCGGUUUCCCGAAGGCAGGAUAGCCGAGGCCCAGGUGCUUCCAGCCCCGGCCGCAGACUUUGGCUCUAGCGUCUUCACACUUAAUUGUCAGAGAGGGGCCUCGAACCAUCAUCGAGUCUCACACACACACACGCACACACGCACACACACGCCUUUCCAAAUGCAGACGUUCACUGCUAUUGUUGUUUCUCUCCCUAUUUGUUUGUGCACCGGAAGCCCUUUAAACUACAUUUAACAACAUUCUGUAGGAAGCGCUGAGCCAAAAAUUCUGUAUUUUCGACUAUGUAUGGGUGGAAACUUGCUGAAACGGUUCAGGCUCUAUGCCUUGUCGCAGGAAUCUCAGAACGUUUGUUCAGAAAGCCCGGGCUAUGCAAUUGACUUGUAAUGUUGAGCUACUUACAAUUAUUUAGCCAUCUAUAUAACUGGCAAUUUUUUUUUUUUUUUUUACUGUACCAGUUCAGGGUAAGUACCUUGAUCAAAGGUCCCACAGCAGAAGGUGGGAUUCAAACCUGGGUCCUUCUACUACAAGGCAACAUUGAGCCCAAUGAAGGAAGAGUUCAUGUGGUUGAGGAGAUCUACACGUGAAAAUAGCCUUGUGGUUGUGUUGCAAAUACGUAUUACUAUACUGUGACAUGUGAUGAUGUAUUAAAAAAUAAUUUUAAUGCUUAUUAGUAUAUUUUGGCAAAUCAGGGUUUAUAGCAACCUGACAAGGGAAAAAAGGCAGAUACGCUUUUUAAUUGUUUUUAAAUAGAAAAAAGAAAACUUUUCAGGUACAAAUGGGGAAACGCAUAGUAGCAGAGCGAACUAAACCAGUCCAAACCAGAACGGCCCAGAACAGCCCAUACGAGCCGCUUUCACUCCUCUCUCCUUGGUCAGACCACAGUGACUCUUAAACGUCCCUUGUGGUUGGCUACACACGUUCAUAAGUUUAACAC